rnacentral:misc_RNA from 1 species
CCCGUCGUCUGCAGCGGACGGCCGAGUCUUACGUGUUGUUAUUAUUGUUAUUAACGUCAUUUUUUAUCAACACUUCUCUCCUCUUCGCCUUUUUAUUCCCGUUGGGUGUUCUCCUCUUCUUCUCCUCCGUGUCCUUGUCUCCCGUUUUCGCUUCUUUUCAUGCCAGUUAUUUUGGGGGAAGGAAAUUAAAAGAGUUGAAAUGAUUUGCUAGAAGAUGGCACACCAAUCAACUGCAGAAUUCUAGCAAAGGAUUCAGGCAUAACCCCCCUCGAGCCAUAUUUCCCCCUCCCCCCCCUCCCUACCCUCUCCCACAGUGCAGACCCCUUCCCCCCUCUACACUGCUAUGGCCGGACUGGAUGACUACCAGUUCUUCUCUAAUCUACGUGAACGCGACACCCCCUUCUGGCAGAAAACCUACGCAGGGGGGGGUGUCGACCGGCCCCACCACGAAGCGAUGAUGAUGCCCGGUGAGACGUACAAGCGGCCAACAGAAUUCCCCCAGAAUCUGCUCAACCCGGCUCUUGCCCCCCACCCCACCUCUGCCUCAGGCACCAAGCCCUACGAUGCGGUGGACUCGUCCAAAGGGAAUGAUAUUCAGAUGGAAAAGUAUGGCGAGCUCUCUAUAAAUCUUGUCAGCUUGUGUGCGGAAAAUCUGCUCAGUCACCCCUUCAUUGUGGUCCGGAGGCAGUGCCAGGUGAACGUGAACAGCCAGCGUUACCACCUCCUGCCCAUCACCUUGGUGCCGGCCUUAAUCCACAUGCAGGGGUGCCAAGGGGUCUCGGCAUUCUGGAAGGGCCUUGGCUCCGUUCUGACUGUGAGGGGAGUCACCCUUGCCCUGGAAGACUGCCUCUCCAAGUUCACGCCGUGGCCCAAAGAAAUUUCCCCUCACAGUUCUCCCAAAACAAUUGGCCAACACCUGCUCCUCAAGUGCUCUGCCUUGGCCCUCAUAACCCCCUUCUACAGUGCGAGCCUAGUGGAAACAGUGCAGAGCGAGAUUGCGAGUGAAAAGCCAGGUGUGCUGGACGUUUUCAAGGAAGGCCUCACACGACUACUGUCUUUCACGCAGCCUCAGACAGGACGCAUGCUCCCUGUAUGGUUGCUCAUCCUCCCCACAGUCACACACGGAAUUCUGCAGUACUUAAUCGGCAACGCAGUCUCUACCAUAACGUCCCAUGCUUUGAGACGCUACCAAAAGCAGGACCAGCAGAAACAGGGUGCCGUAAGCAAAGACUCAGGUUCUUUCCUGGAUGCUUCCGUACGCCUGCAAUCAGCUUUUAUCGGCCACCUUGCCUCGGACGUUAUUCUCUAUCCCUUGGAGACUAUUUUGCAUAGGCUGCAUAUGCAAGGCACUCGCACAAUCAUCGACAGCCUUGACGUAGGCUACGAGGUCAAGCCGAUCCUGACACGAUACGAAGGCUUUUUCGAUUGCCUCCAUACCACCAUUCACGAGGAAGGGUUCUUUGGCCUCUUUAAGGGUUUUGGUGCAAUGUGCAUGCAGUACGCUCUCCAUGCGGCCGUUCUGAAAUUUGCGCAGGUCAUUAUUAGGGAAGUCACCUUUAUCCUCGUCCCCCCGAAGCCCAAGCUAAAGCAACAGCUUCCGCAGGACCGGCUGGAGCCCACACAGCAGGUGCUCAAUUGUUAGAGAGAGAGAGAGAGAGAGAGAGUGGGGGCGAGAAGUAGGUACUUAAGGUGGUCCUCGUACUCCUCCUCCUCCUCCGUAAACGUUCCUAGAGCAUGAUCUAAGGCUUAGACUUAGUGGGUCCCCUGGCUCCCAGUGCUCCCUACACGCCCCUCCAGGCCGUGCCCCCCCCUGGCAUGGCGGGCCUGCACUCCCCCCCCCUCACCUCCUCCCCCCGCCACCACCAGGGCUCCCCCCGGCAGGGCCC